GGAGGAGCCCAGAGCCUGAAUCAGUGUGUGUGUUAGUGGAAGCGUCUGGAAAGGCGCGCGAUACAGGGUGACAGCCCCGUACACAAAAAUGCACAUACUGUGAGCUCGAUGAGUAGGGCGGGACACGUGGUAUCCUGUCUGAAUAUGGGGGGACCAUCCUCCAAGGCUAAAUACUCCUGACUGACCGAUAGUGAACCAGUACCGUGAGGGAAAGGCGAAAAGAACCCCGGCGAGGGGAGUGAAAAAGAACCUGAAACCGUGUACGUACAAGCAGUGGGAGCCUCUUUAUGGGGUGACUGCGUACCUUUUGUAUAAUGGGUCAGCGACUUAUAUUCUGUAGCAAGGUUAACCGAAUAGGGGAGCCGAAGGGAAACCGAGUCUUAACUGGGCGUUAAGUUGCAGGGUAUAGACCCGAAACCCGGUGAUCUAGCCAUGGGCAGGUUGAAGGUUGGGUAACACUAACUGGAGGACCGAACCGACUAAUGUUGAAAAAUUAGCGGAUGACUUGUGGCUGGGGGUGAAAGGCCAAUCAAACCGGGAGAUAGCUGGUUCUCCCCGAAAGCUAUUUAGGUAGCGCCUCGUGAAUUCAUCUCCGGGGGUAGAGCACUGUUUCGGCAAGGGGGUCAUCCCGACUUACCAACCCGAUGCAAACUGCGAAUACCGGAGAAUGUUAUCACGGGAGACACACGGCGGGUGCUAACGUCCGUCGUGAAGAGGGAAACAACCCAGACCGCCAGCUAAGGUCCCAAAGUCAUGGUUAAGUGGGAAACGAUGUGGGAAGGCCCAGACAGCCAGGAUGUUGGCUUAGAAGCAGCCAUCAUUUAAAGAAAGCGUAAUAGCUCACUGGUCGAGUCGGCCUGCGCGGAAGAUGUAACGGGGCUAAACCAUG
rnacentral:rRNA from 1 species